AUUAGGAAUUUCUGGUGGGGUGAUGAGGAGAAUAGGAGGAAGACUCAUUGGCUGGGUUGGGAUAAGAUGAAUAGGCCUAAAGGUGAGGGUGGUAUGGGAUUCCGGGACCUCGGAUUAUUUAAUUAGGCACUCCUGGCUAAGCAGGCUUGGAGGUUGGUGGUUAAUCCUGAAUCUCUAUGCGUCAAAGUGAUUAAGGUAAAAUAUUAUCCGCAUGGACAUAUCCUUGAUACGGUUUUGCCGCAGUCAGCUUCACUUACUUGGCAAGGUAUUCUGCAUGGUUUGGAUAUGCUUAAAUCCGGUGUCAUCUGGAGAGUGUGUGAUGGGUCUAAUAUUAAUAUCUGGAGAGAUAACUGGCUCCCAAGAUUUUCUAGACUUAAAAUUAUUGCCAAAAGAAUAGGACAAGAGUCAAAUGGGUACCAGACUUGA
rnacentral:rRNA from 1 species